rnacentral:rRNA from 1 species
UACAGAGGGUGCAAGCGUUAAUCGGAAUUACUGGGCGUAAAGCGUGCGUAGACGGUUAUGUAAGUCGGGUGUGAAAGCCCCGGGCUCAACCUGGGAAUUGCAUUCGAGACUGCAUAGCUAGGGUGCGGAAGAGGGAAGCGGAAUUUCCGGUGUAGCGGUGAAAUGCGUAGAUAUCGGAAGGAACACCAGUGGCGAAGGCAGGUCUCUGGGCCACUACUGACGCUGAGAAGCGAAAGCAUGGGGAGCGAACAGG